GCCCCCAUCGUCUAGUGGACUAGGACGCAGCCCUUUCAAGGCUACGACCGGGGUUCGAAUCCCCGUGGGGGCACAA
rnacentral:tRNA from 2 species